rnacentral:rRNA from 1 species
CCUACGGGUGGCAGCAGUGAGGAAUAUUGGUCAAUGGCCGCAGGGCUGAACGAGCCAAGUCGCGUGAGGGAUGACGGUCCUAUGGAUUGUAAACCUCUUUUGUCAGGGAGCAAAGGGCGCCACGUGUGGCGUUUUGCGAGUCCCUGAAGAAAAAGCAUCGGCUAACUCCGUGCAAGCAGCCGCGGUAAUACGGAGGAUGCGGGCGUUAUCUGGAUUUAUUGGGGUUAAGGGGUGCGCAGGCGGAAUGUCAAGUCAGCGGUAAAAUUUCGGGGCUCAACCCCGGCGUGCCGUUGAAACUGGCGUUCUUGAGUGAACGAGAGGUAUGCGGAAUGCGUGGUGUAGCGGUGAAAUGCAUAGAUAUCACGCGGAACUCCAGUUGCGAAGGCGACAUACCGGCGCUCAACUGACGCUCAUGCGCGAAAGCGUGGGUAUCGAACAGGAUUAGAUACCCUAGUAGUC